GACGUAGGAUGCAAGCGUUGUCCGGAAUUAUUGGGCGUAAAGAGUUCGUAGGCGGUUAUCUAAGUCUGGUGUUAAAGCCCGAAGCUCAACUUCGGCAUGGCAUUGGAAACUGGGUAGCUAGAGUGCGGUAGAGGUAUCGGGAAUUCCUGGUGUAGCGGUGAAAUGCGUAGAUAUCAGGAGGAACACCGGCGGCGAAAGCGCGAUACUGGGCCGUAACUGACGCUGAGGAGCGAAAGCGUGGGGAGCGAACAGG
rnacentral:rRNA from 1 species